GAUCAUGGCUCAGAUUGAACGCUGGCGGCAGGCUUAACACAUGCAAGUCGAGCGGGGAAGAGUAGCUUGCUACUUAACCUAGCGGCGGACGGGUGAGUAAUGCUUAGGAAUCUGCCUAUUAGUGGGGGACAACAUCUCGAAAGGGAUGCUAAUACCGCAUACGUCCUACGGGAGAAAGCAGGGGACCUUCGGGCCUUGCGCUAAUAGAUGAGCCUAAGUCGGAUUAGCUAGUUGGUGGGGUAAAGG
rnacentral:rRNA from 1 species